UCCUACGGGAGGCAGCAGUGGGGAAUAUUGGACAAUGGGGGCAACCCUGAUCCAGCCAUGCCGUGUGUGUGAAGAAGGCCUUUUGGUUGUAAAGCACUUUAAGCAGUGAAGAAGACUCCAUGGUUAAUACCCAUGGACGAUGACAUUAGCUGCAGAAUAAGCACCGGCUAACUCUGUGCCAGCAGCCGCGGUAAUACAGAGG
rnacentral:rRNA from 1 species